rnacentral:tRNA from 1 species
AAUAAGAUGCCUGAAAAAGGAUUAUUUUGAUAGAAUAAAUUAUGUAGAUUUUCUACUCUUAUUG